GGGGGAUUAGCUCAGUUGGCAGAGCGAUAGGUUCGCAAUCUAUAGGUCAGGGGUUCAAAUCCCCUAUCCUCCA
rnacentral:tRNA from 1 species